UACGUAGGGUGCGAGCGUUGCCCGGAUUUAUUGGGCGUAAAGGGCGCGUAGGCGGUCACGCACGUCCGUUGUGAAAUCGCUCGGCUCAACUGGGCGGGGUCAGCGGAUACGGCGUGGCUGGAGCAAGCUAGGGGGCAAUGGAAUUCCCGGUGUAGUGGUUGAAUGCGUAGAUAUCGGGAGGAACACCAGUGGCGAAGGCGGUUGCCUGGAGCUUUGCUGACGCUGAUGCGCGAAAGCGUGGGGAGCGAUCCGG
rnacentral:rRNA from 1 species